UGGGGAAUCUUGCACAAUGGGGGCAACCCUGAUGCAGCGACGCCGCGUGAGCGAUGAAGCCCUUCGGGGCGUAAAGCUCUUUCGACCGGAACGAUAAUGACGGUACCGGGAGAAGAAGCUGCGGCUAACUACGUGCCAGCAGCCGCGGUAAUACGUAGGCAGCAAGCGUUGUUCGGAGUUACUGGGCGUAAAGAGUGCGUAGGCGGUUUUCUAAGUUCGGUGUGAAAUCUCCCGGCUCAACUGGGAGGGUGCGCCGAAGACUGGGAAGCUGGAGUGUGGGAAAGGCAGGCGGAAUUCCUGGUGUAGCGGUGAAAUGCGUAGAUAUCAGGAGGAACACCGGCGGUGUAGACGGCUUGCUAGACCAUAACUGACGCUGAGGCACGAAAGCGUGGGUAGCAAACA
rnacentral:rRNA from 1 species